AGGAUUGAGAAACGACAAAUAAGAGACUUGAGAAGCACCCAGUGUCAGUGUGUACAACUUCGAUGAGAGGAUGAAGCGGAACUAUCCUUGUCACGAAGAGAGAUUCUCCAGGUACUGCCCUUCCAUCUCCUGCCUCACAGCUGCAACUAGUGAUUAGCAGCAGCUGCCCCUGAUUCCCCGAUCAACCUGGAGGAUAAGAGAACAAGGAGCAAGCAACAACGAGGCAAUGUGGCUGGUCUUGAGAGGCCAGCCUGUGUGGCUGCUCACCAGUGAGUCAGAUGGCAGUGAUUAGAUGCAGCAGGAGUGGAGCUGUGUGCUUGACUGCAGCAGAGGGGAGCUGUGAGAGCUGUGAGCUCACAUACCCUCUCAGAGCGGUGUUAAGUGUUUUUAUUUAAGUUGUGUGUCCUGUUUUUAUUUAAAAACAUAUCAUCUCUUUUAGUUAAAUAGUUCUUUGUGAAGAUUUUGUGUUUCUGUGCUUCUCUUCUGUUCCUGUUUGAGGUUUGUUUGUUAAUAAAUAUCUUAUGCAGUAGAUAAAGAGUAGCUUAUCAGAGCACAGAUAGCUGAUUGUAGUUUAACGUCUUGUUUUUCUCUUGCAGAGAACCCAACAUUUGAAAAGUCUGUUUUGUGCUUAUGCGGCACUGGUCUCCGAGCUCUGGUAUUACGCAUGAGUCAGUGUCCCAAAUUGUAGUGCCACAGCCAUUCCGAGUUUAGCGCUUGGUCAUAGCAUGUCCAGCCACUUAGGAAUAAGGAACGACUGUGUGCUUCGUUAAUGGACUUAAUCAGAUGUUGUGAAAUUCUUUCGAUCGCGCCAUAUCUGUCAAGUCUCAGCAAAACCAAAUCAGGUGAUUCCUCCUGUUCUGUCAAAGCCCAUUCCUGUCGUUGAAGAACCAUUUGAGCAUGUUAUUGUUGACUGUGUUGGUCCUUUACCUAAAACAAAAUCCGGUAACCAGUACAUCCUCACCAUUAUGUGUUCUGCCACUCGUUAUCCUGAAGCCAUUCUGUUGCGCUCAUUAAAAGCCUGUGUCAUAGUGAAAGCGCUCCACUUUUGGUCUCCCUAUACGCAUCCAAAGUGACCGGGGAUUGAACUUCAUGUUCAAAAUCUUAUUGUUAAAUGUGACACACCAUACCUCCAGCGGUUACAAUCCAGAAAGUCAGGGCGCAUUAGAAAGAUUUCACCAGACUCUAGAAAAGGCUACUGGCAGGUCCCACUUACUCAACACGCCUCUGAAAUAAGUGCCUUCGUCACUCCCGAUCAUUUUCUCCAGUAUACAGUCAUGCCAUUUAAUGUUUUAUUCUAAUAAUUGAAAUGACUGUCCCCUUGGUUAAAUUAAUUUAUGUUGUGAUAUGUCCUAGUGGUUUUUAUUCACUGUAGAAAUUCAGAAUGUAAUACUGAAAGGAUUUGCUGAUACUGGCCAAUACACACAGCAAUGUAAGUAAUUGGUACUGGCAAUAAUUAUAUUCCACUUCAAGCACUGGCCUAAGGUCAGUACUUAACAGUGUCCUUUCAAUAUUCUUCAUACUGUUGGAGUGAGAUCACUGUCAUAAUUUUAAUGACUGUACAAUCUUUUUUAGAUUUAGAAAUGUUUGAAAUGUGGUAGGUGCAGACAACAACUCGUAGCGUUGUCUACACAAUCAAAUACUAAGCAUGCAACGAAUUGAGGUGUUUUGUAUCUAAAUAUGCCUGAAUGUUGCAUUAUUUGCCAAAAUCACAAAUUUCAAAAGAACAAAAAAUCGACUAAUAACAAAACAAUGUUAUUCUUGCACAAUGCUAUAAUAUGAUAUCUUUCUACAUAUAUUUGCUUACCAUUGGCCAAGCAAAUUAUCCAUCAUGGAAUGUACCUGUAAUUAACUGAUGGAAGAUUUAUAACAAAUGUGAUGUCUCAAUUAGUGUGGAUGGGAUGCACCUCUGCAUUGCAUAUCCAAUUAGUAAUUCAGGCUGAUACAACGUGCGUAUAAAGAGUAUGUUGAGAGUAGAUUUUAGUUUGCUAAGCCUUGCACAUCUGCUUGCAUGGCAGCAGGACUGUUUCAUAGCCAUUUCAAAUAUCAAUCAUUUACCAUUACUGCAGUCAGCCUCCCAUAUUUACCAGAUUGCUCUGCAGU